CCCGCCCCUUGCGGGAGGUCCGCGCGAGCGCACUAGCCCUUCCCCACCCCCAACCAGCUCGCUGCUCUCAGCUUGGGUUUGGCUGCUGACUGGCUGACCGCUCUCCGCGUCCUCUUUGCAACCUCGGAUGCCUUCUCCCGGCUCUCCGGCCCAUCCUAGUUUCCAAGGGAAGAGUCAGUCACAGGUUCUUCGAAUUUCAGCUUUACAAGCUUUCCUACCAGACUCAACUGUCGAUGGCAGUUUUGGGGGUUCUUUUAGAUCUGAGGAUCAAACCCAGGGCCUUGCACAUUCUACGCAAGCACGCUAUCAUCGAUCUACAUCCAUUCACCACAUUUCUUCCGACAUUAGCACAAUAUGAAAGAGUUCUACAUAUUGAGGUCUGCCCACACCCUACCGAGGUCCCCAGUCGCGCGGAACACACGCCAAAUCAGC